rnacentral:tRNA from 2 species
GGAGAGAUGGCUGAGCUGGUCUAAGGCGCACGACUGGAAAUCGUGUGAACCCCUUAAAGGUUCCGAGGGUUCGAAUCCCUCUCUCUCCGCCA